GGCAGCAUGGCGUAGUGGUUUAGGUGCUGGACUAUGGCUCUGGAGACCAGGGUUCGAAUCCCUGCUCUGCAA